rnacentral:tRNA from 1 species
GCGUCGGUAGCUCAGCUGGAUAGAGCAACUGCCUUCUAAGCAGUAGGUCGUGGGUUCGAAUCCCACCCGACGUA